CGGCAUGCCUUACACAUGCAAGUCGAACGGCAGCAUGGAAGAGCUUGCUCUUCUGAUGGCGAGUGGCGAACGGGUGAGUAAAGCAUCGGAACGUACCGUGUAGUGGGGGAUAACGUAGCGAAAGUUACGCUAAUACCGCAUACGCACUGAGGUGGAAAGCAGGGGAUCGCAAGACCUUGCGCUAUACGAGCGGCCGAUGUCAGAUUAGCUAGUUGGUAGGGUAAAGGCCUACCAAGGCGACGAUCUGUAGCGGGUCUGAGAGGAUGAUCCGCCACACUGGGACUGAGACACGGCCCAGACUCCUACGGGAGGCAGCAGUGGGGAAUUUUGGACAAUGGGCGAAAGCCUGAUCCAGCCAUGCCGCGUGAGUGAAGGAGGCCUUCGGGUUGUAAAGCUCUUUCGGCUGGGAAGAAAUCGCACAGGCUAAUACUCUGUGUGGAUGACGGUACCAGCACAAGAAGCACCGGCUAACUACGUG
rnacentral:rRNA from 1 species